rnacentral:lncRNA from 1 species
UCAUAUAUUUAAGGCACUUUAUUAUUUUUUCCUUUUCCAGUCCACAAAGGUUCUGUUUCAGCUGUCUCUUUCAGUCCAGAUGGUUAUAGGGUAGCAUCAUGCAGUGAAGAUAAACUCCUGAAAGUUUUAGAUGUCCAGACGGGUACAGUUCUCUUCAGCAAAGAUGUUGGUUGGCCAAUGAGAUGCCUGUCCUGGGAUGGUGCCACCGUGUUUACUGGCUGUGAUUCAGGAAGCAUCCAUGUCUGGGACCUGCUGAGUGCAAAGCUUGCUGCAACUGUGUCGGCACAUUCUGGACCUGUGACCUGCAUCCAUGUGUCCGACGAUGGAAGCCUUAUUGCAACAGGUGGAAGUGAUGGAAAAGUGGUGGUAUGGCAGUCUGGAGAACCCUGAUGGCUAUAACUGCAGAUACUGCUGUCCUUAUGUUUUGGAUGCAAAGAACAGCCUCUACAGCACUACGACUGCGUGCCAUGUGUAUUUUUUCUGGGAAUUAAGGCACACAGGAAAGUUUGCAUCUACUAUUUCUUGCUGUACAGUAUUUGACAUUUUGA